GGCUUCGUGGCUGAGUGGUAAGGACAAUUGCCCCUCACCCUAGAGUUCCGGGUUCGACCCCCGGUCAAGGAGCUA